rnacentral:tRNA from 1 species
UGAGUUAAAGUGUAAAAGCACAUUAGAAUUUGAAUCUAAAAGUAUUAUAAAUAAUUUUCUCAA